UGAGGAUAUAGCUCAGUUGGUAGAGUACCUACCUUGCAUGCACAAGGUCCUGGGUUCAAUCCCCAGCACCACAA
rnacentral:tRNA from 1 species